rnacentral:rRNA from 1 species
UACAGCGGUCUCAAGCGUUGUUCGGAUUCAUUGGGCGUAAAGGGUGCGUAGGCGGCGUGGUAAGUCGGGUGUGAAAUCUCGGAGCUUAACUCCGAAACUGCAUUCGAUACUGCCGUGCUUGAGGACUGGAGAGGAGACUGGAAUUUACGGUGUAGCGGUGAAAUGCGUAGAUAUCGUAAGGAAGACCAGUGGCGAAGGCGGGUCUCUGGUCAGUUCCUGACGCUGAGGCACGAAGGCCAGGGGAGCAAACGGG